rnacentral:lncRNA from 1 species
AACCGCUGCAUCACACAACAAAGACAUGUAUACACCAGUUAGAUCUUUAAAGACGCAGACCCUAGAAUGAAAUAUAGCUUGCUUUUUUUUUUUUUUUUUUUUUUUUUUUUUACUAAAUGAUAUUCGUCUUAGUAAAUGCUCAGGUUUUGUUGAUUUUCAAGAAAUUCUAAUUUUAUGUUAAAAAACAUCAUAUAAAAUAUCGUGUCUAAAAUAGCAUAGUUCUGUCAUAAAGCCGUUAACUUGAUGAGAGCCAUUGAUGCAGAUGAGAUCACUGAGCUGUAAGACAAGAGCAGGAAUGGCUGUGAGGUGAUGGUAUUCUCUAGUUCUGUCUUCCUGUUAUUUCUACUAGGUAUUAUUUUCCCAUUUUUCAUUUUUUAUCACAGUAGAGUGAUAAGGUCACAGUAAGGUCACAGUGCUGGGUUCUUAAAAAAUAUUUGUAUAUGUAUGGUUACAUUUGCCAGCUGAUUUUUACAGCUACUAUCCUGUGAAAAAAAAAAAGUGGAGGCCAUUCCGUUUGUCUCUAACUUUGUAAUGAAGCUGCAGCUAUUCACUUGAGAGCAUGUAUCACUUUAGUAAUGCUUCUCAUUUUUCAUCUUUCUGUUCACAGGCAGCAUCUCAGGUCCCAGAUCUGCACUGUGGUCCAUCCAGGUCGCCUGCACUGCAGAGAGCUGGCCCAGGAGAACUUGGAGGCAGAGCCCGUGCCACUUCUCCUGGUUGCCACCUUGGGCUCUGGUUCUUAUGAGGGCAAUUAAACAGCCGGAGGUCUGUGAUGGUGUUCACUCAAUGCCCACCGUACAAGGAAGAAAUGGCAAACUUCGAGCAUAUACGCAGUGUUUUCCUCAGUGCUGCUUUCUCCACGCCUUUGUAUCAGACAACUCCUGUGCCAGGAUCUACCUGCUCAGCACUCAUGAUCCACUUCCUAGGGGAACAGCCAGCUCCAUGUAAGCAGUGGCAGGAAACACCUUUGUAGACAACAGCAGUCACACAUCUGUAACACCAUCCUUCCACUCAGAUCCCACACAGAACAGAGGAAAGGUAGAGGUAAGAAAAACAUUUGUCAGUUGUUUUUUUUUCCCAAUAAGAAAAAUGAUCUAUGGAGUGAAAUGAACUGACCAAGUGAAAGCAGUAGAAGAAAGAGAGUAGUGUUUAGUAUCUGGUGGCUGCUUGAGCCUUGUAUCAGCCAAACUCUCCUUUUCCUUCCCUCCCAUUUUUUUUUUUUACCUCUUUAGAUUCCACUAGAAAACUGCACAAAGUUAAUCACUACAUUCAGUGCUUCUGUCUUCC